rnacentral:lncRNA from 1 species
UGAUGACAAGAUCAAAUCCGCACAUAUCAAUACUAACUUUGAAUGUAAAUAGGAAAUGACCCAAUUAAAAGGCACAGGGUGGGCUGGGCAUGGUGGCUCACACCUGUAAUCCCAGCACUUUGGGAGGCCCAGGUGGGCAGAUCACUUGAGGCCAGGAGUUUGAGACCAGCCUGGCCAACAUGGAGAAAGCCCAAAUCUACUAAAAAUACAAAAAAUUAGCCAGGCAUGGUGGCGUGUGCCUGUAGUUCCAGCUACUCAGGAGGUUGAGGUGGGUGAAUCACUUGAACCUGGGAGCCAGAGGUUGCACUGAACUGAGACUGUGCCACUGCACUCCAGCCUGGGUGACAGUGCAAGACCCUGUUUAAAAAGAAAAAAAAAAUGUCACAGAAUGGCAACCUGGAUAAAGAAGCAAGACCCAAUGACCCAAUGGUAUGCUGUCUUCAAGGGACCCAUCUCGCAUGCAGUGACACCCAUAGGCUCAAAAUGAAGUGAUGGAGAAAAAUCUACCAAGCAAAUGGAAAACAGAAUAAAAGCAGGGGUUGCUAUUCCUAAUUUCAGACAAAACAGACUUUAAACCAACAGAGAUCAAAAAAGACAAAGAAGGGCAUUACAUAAUGGCAAAGCAUUCAAUUCAAUAAGAAGACCUAACUAUCCUAAAUAUAUAUGCAUUAACACAGGAGCACCUAGAUUAAUAAAGCAAGCUGUUAGAGACCCACAAAGAGACUUAGACUCCCACACAAUAAUAGUGAGAGAUCUCAACACCCCACUGACAGUAUUAGAUCAUUGAGGCAGAAAAUUAACAAAGAUAUUCAGGACCUGAAUUCAAUACUGGACCAAAUGGACCUAGCACAAACAUCUACAGAACUCUCUACCCCAAAACAAGAGAAUAUACAUUCUUCUGAUUGCCACAUAGCACGUACUCUUAAAUUGACCACACAAUCAGACAUAAAACAAUCCUCAGCAAAUUAAAAAAAAAAAACAUACCAACUACACUUUCAAGCCAUAGCACAAGAAAAAUAAAAAAUCCAUACUAAAAAAAUUGCUCAAAACGAUACGAUUACAUUGAAAAUUAAACACCUGUUCCUGAAUGACUUUGGGGUAAAUAAUGAAAUCAAGGCAGAAAUCAAGAAGUUCUUUGCAACUAAUGAGAACAAAGAUCCAACAUACCAGAAUCUCUGGGACACAGCUAAGGUAGUGUUCAGAUGGAAGUUUAUAGCACUAAAUGGCCACAUGAAAAAGUAAGAAGGAUCUCAAAUUAACAACCUAACAUCAUAACUAGAGGAAUUAGAGAAGCAAGGGAAAACCAAUCCUAAAGCUACUAGAUGACAGAAAUAACCAGAAUCAGUGCUGAACUGAAGGGAAUUAAGAAACAAACAAAAAACAUAUAAAACAUCAACAAAUCCAGGAGUUGGUUCUUUGAAAAAAUUAAUAAGAUAGACUGCUAGCUAGACUAAUAAAAAAAGGAGGGAAAUCCAAAUUAACACAAUUAGAAAUGGCAAAGGGGGCAUUACCACUUACCCCCAGAGAAAUACAAAGAAAAAAACACACACACACACACACACACAAAACACAAAAAACCCAGACAGUACUAUGAACACCUCUAUGCAGACAAACUAGAAAAUCUAGAAGAAAUGGAUAAAUUCCUGGACACAUACAAUCUCCAAAGACUGAACCAGGAAGAAACUGAAUCCCUGAACAGAUUAGUAAUGAGUUCCAAAAUUUAAGCAGUAAUAAAAAGCUUACUAACCAAGAAAAGCCCAGGACCAGAUGGAUUCACAGCCGAAUUCUACCAGAUAUAUAAAGAGCUGGUACCAUUCCUACUGAAACUGUUCCAAAAAAAUGAGCAGGGACUCUUCCCCAACUAAUUCUGAGGCCAGCAUCAUCCUGAUACAAAACCAGGCAGAGAUGCAACAAAAAAAGAAAACCCCAGGCCAAUAUCCCAAAUGAAUAUAGAAGCAAAAAUCCUCAAGAAAAUACUAAUAAACUGAAUCUAGCAGCACAUCAAAAAGUUAAUCCACCAAGAUCAAGUAGACUUUAUCCUUGGGAUGCAAGGCUGGUUCAACAUACAUAGAUCAGUAAAUGUGAUUAAUCACAUAAACAGAACUAAAAAAUUUCCCAAAACCACAUAAUUAUCUCAAUAGGUGCAGAAAUAAAAGAGAUGUGAAUAAAAUUCAACAUCUCUUCCUGUUAAAAACCCUCAAUAAACUAGGCAUUGAAGGAAUAUACUUCAAAAUAACAAGAGCCAUCUAUGACAAACCCACAGCUGACAUCAUACUGAAUGGGCAAAAGCUAGAAGCAUUCGCCUUGAAAGCUGGCACAAGACAAGGAUGCCCUCUCUUACCACUCCUAUUCAACAUAGUACUGGAAGUCCUGUCCAGAGCAGUCAGGAGGAAGAAAUAAAAGGCAUUCAGAUAAGAAUAGAGGAGGAAGUCAAACUCUCCCUGUUUGCGGAUGACAUAAUUCUAUAUCUGGAAAACCCCAGAGUCUCUGCCCAAAAGCUCCUUGAUCUGAUAAACAACUUCAGCAAAGUUUCAGGAUAUAAAAUUAAUGUAUGGAAAUCAGUAGCAUUCCUAUACACCAACAACAUCCAAACCAAGAGCCAAAUCAGGAACACAAUCCCAUUCACAGUUGCCACAAAAAUAAUUAAAAACCUAGGCAUACAGCUAAACCAGGGAGGUGAAAGAUUUCUACGAUAAGAGUUACAAAACACUGCCAGAAAUCAGUGAUGACACAUACAAAUGGAAAAACAUUCCAUGUUUAUGGGUAGAAAGAAUAAAUAUUGGCUGGGCAUGGUGGCUCAUGCCUGUAAUCCCAGCACUUUGGGAGGCUGAGGUGGGCGGAUCACGAGGUCAGCAGAUUGAGACCAUCCUGGCUAACAUGGUGAAACCCCUUGUCUACUAAAAAUACAAAAAAUUAGCUGGGCGUGGUGGCAGGCACCUGUAGUCCCAGCUGCUUCGGAGGCUGAGGCAGGAGAAUGGCAUGAACCCGGGAGGCAGAGCUUGCAGUGAGCCGAGAUCGCGCCACUGCACUCCAGCCUGGGCGACAGAGUGAGACUCCAUCCAAAAAAAAAAAAAAAAAAAAAAAAAACACAGAAUCAAUAUCAUUAAAAUGGCCAUAGUGCCAAAAGCAAUUUACAGAUUCAACACUAUUUCUAUCAAAGUACCAAUGACAUUCUUCACAAAAUUCAAAAACUAUUUUAAAAUUCAUAUAGAACUAAAAAAGAGCCAGAAUAGCCAAGGCAAUCCUAAGCAAAAAGAACAAAGCUGGAAGCAUCACAUUACCUGACUUCAAACUAUACUACAAGGCUAUUGUAUCCAAAACAACAUGGUACUGGUAUAAAAACAGACCCAUUGUAUUAGUCCAUUCUCACACUGCUAGGAAGAAAUAACCAAGACUAGGUAAUUUAUAAAGGAAAGAGGUUUAAUUGACUCACAGUUCCACAUGACUGGAAAAGCCUCAGGAAAUUUACAAUCAUGGUGGAAGGCAAAGAGAAGCAGGCACCUUCUUCACAGGGCAGCAGGACACAGUGAGUGCAAGCAGGGGAAAUGCCAGCCACUUAUAAAACCAUCAGAUCUCGUGAGACUCACCCACUAUCACGAGAACAGCAUAGGGGAAACCACCCCCAUGAUUCAAUCACCUCCACCUGGUCCUGCCCUUGACACAUGGGGAUUAUGGGGAUUACAAUUCAAGAUGAGAUUUGGGUGGGGCCACAAAACCUAACCAUAUCACACAUAGACCAAUGGAACAGAAUAGAGAUCCCAGAAAUAAUGGUACACACCUACAACCAUCUGAUCAUUGACAAACCUGACAAAAACAAUGGGGGAAAGGAUUCCCUAUUCAAUAAAUGGUGCUGGACUAACUGGCUAGUCAUAGACAGAAGAUUGAAACUGGGCCCCUUCCUUACACCACAUAUGAAAUCAACUUAAGAUGGAUUAAAGACUUAAAUGUAAAACCUAAAACUAUAAAAACUCUGGGAGAUAACUUAGGAAAUGUCAUUCUGGACAUAGGACCUGGCAAAGAUUUAUGAUGAAGACACCAAUAGCAAUUGCAACAAAAACAGAAAUUGACAAAUGAGACCUAAUUAAACUAAGAGUUGUUUUACUGAAAAGAAACUAUCAACAGACUAAACAGACAACCUACAGAAUUGGAGAAAAUAUGUGCAAACUAGGCAUCUGACAAAGUUGUAAUAUCCAUAAUCUGUAAGGAGCUUAAAUGAAUUUACAAGAAAAAAAAACAACCCCAUUAAAAAGUGGGCAAAGGACAUGAACAGACACUUUUCAAAAGAAGAUAUACAUGUGGUUAACAAGCAUAUGAAAAAAAUGCUCAACAGCAUUAAUCAUUAGAGAAAUGCAAAUGAAAACCACAAUGAGAUACCAUCUCACACAGCAGAAUGGCUAUUAUUAAAAAGUAAAAAAAUAACAGAUGCAGGCUGGCUGCUGUGGCUCACGCCUGUAAUCCCAGCACUUUGGGAGGCCAAGGCAGGCAGAUCAGCUGAGGUUCAGGAGUUUGAGACCAUCCUGGCCAACGUGGUAAAACCCCAUCUCUACUAAAAAUACAAAAAUUAGCCAGGUGUGGUGCCAGGUGCCUGUAAUCCCAGCUACUUGGGAGGCUGAAGCAUGAGAAUCACUUGAACCUGGGAGGUGGAGGUUGCAGUGAGCCUAGAUCAUGCCAUUGAGCUCCAGCCUAGGCAACAAGAGUGAAACUCUGUCUCAAAAACAAAACAAAACAAACAAACAAAAAAACAGAGGCUGGAGAGGUUGCCAAGAAAAGGGAAUGAAGGGACUGCUUAUACACUGUUGGUGGGAGUGUAAAUUAGUUCAGCCACUGUGGAAAGCAGCAUGGUGAUUCCUCAAAGAACUUAAAAUAGAAUUACCAUUCAGCCCAGCAAUCCCAUUUUUGGGUAUAUACCCAAAGAAAUAUAAAUCAUUCUACCAUAAGGACACAUGCACAUGUAUGUUCACUGUAGCACUAUUCACAAUAGCAAAGGCAUGGAAUUAAUCUCAAUGUUCAUCAGUGGUAGAGUGGAUGAAGAAAAUGUGGUACAUAUACACCAUGGAAUACUAUGCAGCCUUAAAAAAGAAUGAAAUCAUGUUCACUGUAGCAACAUGGAUAGAGCUGGAGGUCAUUACCCUAAGCAAUCUAAUGUGGGAACAGAAGGCCAAGUACUACAUGUUUUCACUUACAAGUGGGA